rnacentral:tRNA from 1 species
CGUCCCCGGGUGGGCUCGAACCACAACCUUUCGGUUAACAGCCGAACGCGCUAGGCAAUUGUUCCACGGAGAC